GACGAACGCUGGCGGCGUGCUUAACACAUGCAAGUCGAACGGAAAGGCCUUUUCGGAGGUACUCGAGUGGCGAACGGGUGAGUAACACGUGGGUGAUCUGCCCUGCGCUCUGGGAUAAGCCUGGGAAACUGGGUCUAAUACCGGAUAGGACCGCACUUUAGUGUGUGUGGUGGAAAGUUUUUUCGGUGUAGGAUGAGCCCGCGGCCUAUCAGCUUGUUGGUGGGGUAAUGGCCUACCAAGGCGGCGACGGGUAGCCGGACUGAGAGGUUGGUCGGCCACAUUGGGACUGAGAUACGGCCCAGACUCCUACGGGAGGCAGCAGUGGGGAAUAUUGCACAAGGGGCGCAAGCCUGAUGCAGCGACGCCGCGUGGGGGAUGACGGCCUUCGGGUUGUAAACUCCUUUCGCCAGGGACGAAGCGUUUUGUGACGGUACCUGGAGAAGAAGCACCGGCUAACUACGUG
rnacentral:rRNA from 1 species